GAUGGCAAGGGUAGACCUAAAGUCGACCGGUCGAGCCGAGUGUCGGUGAAGGAAGAAGCAGCAGCGAUGAAGCAGCCGCCGGCGUCGUCGUACUUGUACAACCAGCAGCAGGAUGAGGAGAUAGAGGAGGCGGCGGGCGUGUCGAUCGGCAUGGAGAUUGAUGACUCCGACCCCGUCGACAUCCUCGCCGACUUCGAUCGACAGCAGCCUCCCGUCGACGUCGACUUCUUCAACUCCUUCGAGGACGAUUUCGACGAUCAGGAUCUCGCCUGACCGCAUUCCUCCCCUCUCGCCCUCUUUCGCUUCUGGUAUGUUAUGAUCAGCAUCUGAUCCUUCGACUCAUCACUAACAAUGUGAUUUUGGUGCCUCAGCUCUUUGGGACUGCGAGCAUAGUAAAGAAGCAAGCCAUGGAAUCCUUCGACAGCUUAUUUCUUGUGUCAAUUUCCUUUAGUACGAGUCUGUUUUUUCGCAUCGUGCUGCCAUGGACACGAAUGCUCAUCAGCUGCUAUGUCGAGUUGGUGAGACAUAGUUUGAGCAAUUAUAAUUGCGUAUCAACUGUAAUGAAGACUGAACUUAAGACCCCCAAACCUAUCGUCGAUCAUGUGCUUGGUCGAGAGGGUCCUGUUAUAGUCUUGUCUGAUUGGGCAGAUGGAAUUUUAGCCGUUUGAUAGAUUAACAAUCAACGGCUAAGAUUUGGCUGAUGGCUAUCAAACCGAGGGCCCCACCAUUGGAUUUGCGGUUGUUUUGCUCACGAUCGCUGCAGAAAUUAUAUCCUUGUGCAUUGUUUA